AUUGAACGCUGGCGGCAGGCCUAACACAUGCAAGUCGAGCGGAGCGGCGGACGGGUGAGUAAUGCCUAGGAAUCUGCCCGGUAGUGGGGGAUAACGUACGGAAACGGGCGCUAAUACCGCAUACUAUCAGAUGAGCCUAGGUCGGAUGAGCUAGAUGGUGGGGUAAGGGCCUACCAAGGCGACGAUCCGGAACUGGUCUGGGAGGCUGAUCAGUCACACUGGAACUGAGACAAGGUCCAGACUCCUACGGGAGGCAGCAGUGGGGAAUAUUGGGCAAGGGGCGAAAGCCUGGUCCAGCCAUGCCGCGUGUGUGAAGAAGGUCUUCGGAUUGUAAAGCGCGUUAAGUUGGGAGGCGUUACCUAGAGAAUAAGCACCGGCUAACUACGUGCCAGCAGCCGCGGUAAUUC
rnacentral:rRNA from 1 species